UAUNGGGCAAUGUGCGCAAGCCCGACACAGCNACACCGCGUGAAGGAAAAAGGCUUUCGGGUUGUAAACUUCUUUUCUCAGGGACGAAGCAAGUGACGGUACCUGAGGAAUAAGCCACGGCUAACUACGUGCCAGCAGCCGCGGUAAUACGUAGGUGGCAAGCGUUAUCCGGAUUUACUGGGUGUAAAGGGCGUGUAGGCGGGAAAGCAAGUCAGAUGUGAAAACCAUGGGCUCAACCUGUGGCCUGCAUUUGAAACUGUUUUUCUUGAGUACUGGAGAGGCAGACGGAAUUCCUAGUGUAGGGGUGAAAUGCGUAGAUAUUAGGAGGAACACCAGUGGCGAAGGCGGUCUGCUGGACAGCAACUGACGCUGAGGCGCGAAAGCGUGGGGAGCAAACA
rnacentral:rRNA from 1 species